rnacentral:rRNA from 1 species
GACGAACGCUGGCGGCGUGCUUAACACAUGCAAGUCGAACGGAAAGGCCCUGCUUGCAGGGUACUCGAGUGGCGAACGGGUGAGUAACACGUGGGUGAUCUGCCCUGCACUUCGGGAUAAGCCUGGGAAACUGGGUCUAAUACCGGAUAGGAGCCAUUUUUAGUGUGAUGGUUGGAAAGUUUUUUCGGUGUAGGAUGAGCUCGCGGCCUAUCAGCUUGUUGGUGGGGUAAUGGCCUACCAAGGCGGCGACGGGUAGCCGGCCUGAGAGGGUGGACGGCCACAUUGGGACUGAGAUACGGCCCAGACUCCGACGGGAGGCAGCAGUGGGGAAGAUUGCACAAUGGGCGCAAGCCUGAUGCAGCGACGCCGCGUGGGGGAUGACGGCCUUCGGGUUGUAAACUCCGUUCGCUAGGGACGAAGCUUUUUGUGACGGUACCUAGAUAAGAAGCACCGGCUAACUACGUG